AGAUGGCUCAUCAAUUACACAGGCCAACAGAAGAAAGACUACAUGAAUGGAGUGAAGCCAACUACUACAGCAAAACACCUUACACCUUGGUGUUUUGAGGAACAACACUACUGACUAGUUGCUUCCUGUCUCUCGCCGCCAUGGCCAGUUACAUCCUUGGGUCCUUCGCAAGGAAAAGUAUCUGAAGCGGUGUCUCGUGUGCGGCUACACCACGCCUUACAACCAGCGCAUGCAGUAUCACCAGAGGACGCACACGGACGAGCGUCCGUACAAGUGCAACCAGUGCAACAAGGCCUUCAGGCAGCUGGGCCACCUGAACGACCACGUCCGCAUCCACACCGGCGAGAGACCUUUCCGGUGCCACCUCUGUCCCAUGGACUUUAACAGAAAGACCAGACUCAUGAACCACCUUUCAACUCACAGCAGCAAGACGAUUGGUCAUGAACCACCUGGCAAGUCGCAGUAGCAAGACAGUUGAUUUUCCUGAUGGUGUUUGCCCCUGUGUUGAACGAAAUAGCAAAGUCUGCGAAGGUGAGUGACGUGUGCAACUCAAUGUAUCACAAGGCAACGGGCUAGAGAGGCUGACGUUCAGACUGGACCGUUUCGCAUGCUGUAGCGAACUGUGCCACCGAACCACUAAAACUGACAGCAGAAAGGACGAAUCUACUACUAGAAAAUGUACAAAAAGGAUGCAAAUAUUCGUGAAGCUUAUAAUAAAGACCCUUAAAACAAACGAAAUUGUGAGGCAUUCCGCUCUGUGAAGACUGACAACCAGCGAAGCUGUUCAGCAUGUGACACAGAAUUUCAUUCCAUAGCCGAUCUCACACCCUGCAACUAAAUCGGAAAUGUCUGUCCAGAAGUUCCUGUUGAAUUUAACGUAUGCUGCUUUUAAAGUUUUUUGUUUGAGCAGCGUGGUGCUAGCGACUUUUUGCCGCAUGAUCCAAUUUGCGGCAUGUUGUCUUGUCUGGCUUGCUGCAUGCACUUUGCGUUUCGUGCACAAUCUUAAUUGAUGUUUGCUGCCCGUGUGUUCCUUUCUUCAUUUCGGGUGCACCGGUGUGGAAUGUUGGGGUUUGCCCACUUCGUGUGGCGCAUGUGGUUGACACACAGGAAAGAUACUCGUGACCCUAACCAUAUGCAGCUUCGCUGUAAUAUGGCCAUGUAUGCAUAUGGCUCAACGUGUGGUACGUGCAACCGUUUAUGUAUUCUUGUGCCGAAAUUUUCUUGAAUGAAAGUAAUUCCUGAAGCACUGUUUUACUGAGGUGUAGGAUUGCUGCACUAUAGCCCCUUGAAGUGCCUCUAAA
rnacentral:lncRNA from 1 species